rnacentral:lncRNA from 10 species
AACACAUUCCUAUAGGAAUAAAAGUCCCUUAUCACAAACUCUAACAUUACAUGUGCUUGUAAGUUUUGACUCCACUUACACCUGGUCACUGGGGCAUUCAGACCAGGAUACUUUGUUUCAGUUGCAUGCUCUGCUGAUGUAUCAGCUUAUUGCUUCAGCUGUGUAGUUGUAUCCACUGCUCAACUAGAAAGGAACCACUGUCAAAGCCCCAUUUAUGCUGAGGGACAUGUGUAUGACUGCAACACAGUUGUGUCAAACAGAGUACCCCAUACAUAUCUUUUUCGUCUUCUGUGUUCUCUGUCCUUUAAUAUAGCCAAAAGUUACCUCUCUCCUACUGGGUCCGGAAUUUAUUCCUGCUGGUGAGUUCUCGAUCUAGCUGACUUCAAGAAUGAAGUCUCGGACCCACGCGAAGUGUUACAGCUCUUGAAGAUGGUGUGUCCAGAGUUUGUUCCUUCGUAUGUUCACAUGUGUCCAGAGUUUCUUCCUGCUGGUGGGUUCGUGACAUCGCCUACUUCAGCAGCGAAGCCACAGACCCUCACAAGUGGAAGCUCUAUUAUUGACCGAGACAAUGGGGAUUACCAUCUAUGGCAGAGACACAGCUCAUUGCCCACCAAAGAUUUGUGUAACCCACUUCCAUGGUGUAGAGUUGUCAGUGACUAGACAGGAAUCUGAAGCCCUACAAGAUGGUGGAGGCACAAGAUAGAAGGACCCUUGUCCCACAGUUACCAUAUAGAGGAAAAAGUCAGCAGUCAACUCUUCUGUUACGUAAGCAAGACAUACAUUUUUAUUGCACGCGGCCACUAAAGUUGGUGAGUUUAUCUGUCAUGGCAGUUAGUGUGAUUCAUGUGUGAUGUUUUUCUUUCACCCAAUCUCUGUUGGAGGUGCAGGAACAAUUCUGACACUUUGUCUAAGGCACAUCGUUAUUAGCUCCAUAACCAAAAAUGAAAUGUGGAAUUAGGGUGUCAGAUUGUCCGUGUUCAGGUCUCAGGAGACAAGUUAGAGGGCAUGUCUGAAUGCUGACAAAGGUGUGCUGUGAGCCAAGGGUGACAGAGGAGGCCAGGAGCCAACAAGGGGGAAGGCAAUUGCUAAGGUGUGAGGCAGAAAAAGAGCAGAAGCUGUUGUCUAACAGUGUAUGUUUUAGAUUCCAGAUUUUAGAGGGAGGGUUCUAAACUAAAGGAAGAGAUUGAAGGCUGGCCUUCAGACUUGUAGCUGGAACAGAGUGAGCAUUCUGAGUAUAGACUAGCAGUGCACCUGAGGCUGUCCAACAGAGUCUGGCGGCAGAAAGAGCAGGAAACCAGGCAGGUGGGACACUAAACCCCUGAGAGCCAACUGGGAUAUAGAAUCCCAGAGACCUGAAGGGUAUGGAGAAACUCCAGGUAACUGAGAGCCUUGAUCAAAAAAGGCCCAUAUGGCUGACCUUUUUCGUUAUGGUAUUUAGGGAUCUGUUAUUUGAUAAUGCCAUUGAAACACCAGGCUCUGGCUUCAGCCCUUGAGCACAGUCAAUAGAAAAUGAUUUCUACACAUCUCCGGAGUGAGAGCCACAGGCAUGAUGUUUGGUGGACCUUUAUUGGCUCUAGAAAGGGAAGAGCAGCCUUCUCCUGGUUACUUAUUGCAAAUAUGCGGGACGGCCCUGGGACCUGGGGCAAAGACUGACACAGAUGCCCUGCCGUUUGGAUGAAUAGCUGUCUUAGCCAGCUCCAUAAGACCAAUCAUUCUACAGCUGACUGUGCACCAGGAGCAAAUUAGAACGAAACUGAAAACUGAUAGGUCUAGUGUUUUACCUCACCUGCAUCUAUAGCAAAGCUAUAUGGCUGCAACCCCAAAGAACUGGUUAAAGUUCUGAAGAUUGAAAUGAACAUUACUGUAUAAAAUAUUUUCUAUUCCUCUGUUUACUACAUAUGAAUGUAUGUAGUAAAAGAUUUGGGAAGGUGAAAGACAAUAGUUAUUACUGUGGUGUGGAAAAACUAAUACUGAACUUCUCUGCCUGAGUUUUAGCCUCCUAUUUGCCCAGCUUUCUUUCUGUUUUCUUUCUUUUCUUUUCUUUCUCUCUCUCUCUUUCUUUCUUUCUCUCUUUCUUUUUUUUUUUUUUUUUUUUUUUUGAGAUGGAGUCUCACUCUGUCCCAGGCUGCAGUGCAGUAGCACGAUCUUGGCUCACUGCAACCUCCACCUCCCAGGUUCAAGCGAUUCUCCUGCCUUAGCAUCCUGAGUAGCUGGGAUUAGAGGCGUGUGCCACCAGGACCAGCUUAUUUUUGUAUUUUUAGUAGAUACGGGGUUUCACCACACUGGCCAGGCUGGUCUCGAACUCCUGACCUCGUGAUCCACCCGCGUUGGGCUCCCAAACUGCUGGGAUUGCAAGUGUGAGCCACCGCGCCCGACCUCUUGCCCUUUUCUUACUCAGUGUCUGCCCCAUUCCCAUCCCAUCCUAAUGAUUUAGAAUUUUAUUAUGCAAAGUAGUCAGCUGCUUACAGCUUCGGCUUCUUAAUUCUUU